rnacentral:rRNA from 1 species
UGGGGAAUAUUGGACAAUGGAGGAAACUCUGAUCCAGCAAUUCUGUGUGUGUGAAGAAGGUUUUAGGACUGUAAAACACUUUUAGUAGGGAAGAAAAAAAUGACGGUACCUACAGAAGAAGCAACGGCUAAAUACGUGCCAGCCGCCGCGGUAAUACGUAUGUUGCGAGCGUUAUCCGGAAUUAUUGGGCUUAAAGGGCAUCUAGGCGGUAAGACAAGUUGAAGGUGAAAACCUGUGGCUCAACCAUAGGCUUGCCUACAAAACUGUUGAACUAGAGUACUGGAAAGGUGGGUGGAACUACACGAGUAGAGGUGAAAUUCGUAGAUAUGUGUAGGAAUGCCGAUGAUGAAGAUAACUCACUGGACAGAAACUGACGCUGAAGUGCGAAAGCUAGGGGAGCAAACAGG